CUGUUAGGUACUGACUUUCUUUGGUUAAGAACGUUCCAAUAACUUCAUUUUGUCGAGGGAUAUUGCAUCUAUUGUAGAUUAAACGAUGUCGUAUAAUGUUUAUGCUUCAAAUCUAUUUUAACAGAUGCCUAUAUUAGGGUUUUUGCCUCAAUUUUUAUGUUAACCGGUACCUAUAGUUAGGUCUUCGAGGGUUAAAAUCCAAAACUCUAUUUAGUUUCAUUGUUCUUCUUCCCAAGUCUCUAAGUGAAACCUCUCUGCCUCGCCGUUCACCACUGCUCUUUGCCUCGUCGCCAUGCUACUGCACCACCGCCCCCGUCUUCUCAGUUCCCAUUGUCAGGUGCCCCACUACCGUUAGUGGCUCAACCUCUGGGUGUCGUGGUUUCGACUGUUCUUCAUCCUCGCCACUAGUCCUUGCCUCCCUGCCACGUCGUUGCACCACUACUGUCGUUGCCACUACCAAGUGCUCCACUUUCGCCACCGUCUUCGUCACUGCUGUUGCUGUUGUUCAUCCGCCAUUGGUGUUGUUGUUCUUGUUGGUCCGAUAUGUUCUUUAGACCACCUCCAUUUUUUUGUUUAAUGGUAAUUGUUGGUUUGGUAUGUUCUUGUUGGUUUGGUAUGGUCCAGUGUGUUUGAUAGGAAUAACUUAGGGAAUAGAACUUAGGAAUAUAGAAAUUAGGUUGAAUUUGUGUAUAAUUUGAUAAUGU
rnacentral:lncRNA from 1 species